rnacentral:rRNA from 1 species
UGGGGAAUAUUGCACAAUGGGCGCAAGCCUGAUGCAGCAACGCCGCGUGAGGGACGACGGCCUUCGGGUUGUAAACCUCUUUUAGUAGGGAAGAAGCGAAAGUGACGGUACCUGCAGAAAAAGCACCGGCUAACUACGUGCCAGCAGCCGCGGUAAUACGUAGGGUGCGAGCGUUGUCCGGAAUUAUUGGGCGUAAAGAGCUCGUAGGCGGUCUGUCGCGUCUGCUGUGAAAACCCGAGGCUCAACCUCGGGCCUGCAGUGGGUACGGGCAGACUAGAGUGCGGUAGGGGAGAAUGGAAUUCCUGGUGUAGCGGUGGAAUGCGCAGAUAUCAGGAGGAACACCGAUGGCGAAGGCAGUUCUCUGGGCCGUAACUGACGCUGAGGAGCGAAAGCGUGGGGAGCGAACAGGAUUAGAUACCCUGGUAGUCCACGCCGUAAACGUUGGGCGCUAGAUGUGGGGACCAUUCCACGGUUUCCGUGUCGCAGCUAACGCAUUAAGCGCCCCGCCUGGGGAGUACGGCCGCAAGGCUAAAACUU